GUUUUUUAAUCUUAGAAAGAUUCUAAGAUUGGCUGUCACUACCACCAAAUUAAGAUUCUUCCAUGUUUCCUUUGACUAAAACAGAAUGAAUGGAUCCUGGCUAAGCCUCUACUGUGGCAAAAAUCUGGGGGAAGUGAUGUUCAGGAGACAUAAGUAUCCACUACCCUUCUAAGGCUGCAAUUGAAUGAGGGAGAUAGCAACCAUAACAAACACAAUGUAAGAAUAUAUGAAGUAAGUGCUAGAGCUUAUGUGUUUUAAUGAAGCAAGCUGCCAUGUUAGAGAGCCCCACGUGGUAAAGAAUGGAGAGAAGCCUCCAGCCAACAGCCACCGAGGAACUGAAUCCUGCCAGCAAGCACAUAAGUCAGCCUGGAAGCAAAUCCUUACCCACUAGGGGCUUGCAAUGACCAUAGCUUGUGAUGGUUGGCUGCAGCCUGUGAUGUCAGGGACCCAGCUAAGCCAGCCUGGAACUCUGACCUUGUGGAAACUAUAAGAUAAUAAAUGUUGUUGAAACCCACUA